GGCCCGUUGGUCAUAAGACACCUCCCUUUCACGGAGGUAACAGGGUUCGAAUCCCCUACGGGUCACCA
rnacentral:tRNA from 1 species